rnacentral:rRNA from 1 species
UACAGAGGUCUCAAGCGUUGUUCGGAUUCAUUGGGCGUAAAGGGUGCGUAGGUGGCGCGGUAAGCCGGGUGUGAAAUCUCGGAGCUUAACUCCGAAAUUGCAUUCGAUACUGCCGUGCUUGAGGACUGGAGAGGAGACUGGAAUUCAUGGUGUAGCAGUGAAAUGCGUAGAGAUCAUGAGGAAGACCAGUGGCGAAGGCGGGUCUCUGGACAGUUCCUGACACUGAGGCACGAAGGCCAGGGGGAGCAAACGGGG